UUAUUUUAAAGGUCUCUUUAAUAUCGGCCAGUCCAAAUAUUCUCUUGUCAAAGAUUUCUGGGGCCUGUACUUGAAGAAAGAAACGAUUUUCUCAAAUCUGUGAACAGGACACUUUUUUUUUUUGGUCAAAAUAAACCAUCUGCUUGUACAACUGUUUCUAAUUACUUCCCUGCCUAGACUCUCCACUGAGGGGUUUGGCACCAGCACCCCGCCCAGAGCAGUGCCUCUGCCCAAAUCCUCGCUGCAAUUGCAACUCCGGCUGGAGCCCCGGACCAGCACGCCUGGGUGUCCGUGGGUCCGUCUGCCUGGCCAUCUGCUGGUGGCACCACUCCCUCCUGCUGCCUCCCCUGCUGAACCCCACCUUGCAGAAGUGCAGCUCGCCCUGAGCAGCCCAGGAGCUCAGCAUGCGUCCCCCAGGCUUCAGCAACUUCUUCCUGCUGGCUUCCUCCCUUCUCUUUGCUGGGCUGUCAGCUGUUCCUCAAAGCUUCUCGCCAUCUCUGAGGAGCUGGCCGGGCGCCGCCUGCAGGCUGUCCCGGGCCGAGUCCGAGCGCCGCUGCCGCGCACCUGGGCAGCCUCCGGGGGCCGCGCUGUGCCACGGCCGGGGCCGCUGCGACUGUGGCGUCUGCAUCUGCCACGUGACCGAGCCGGGCAUGUUCUUCGGUCCCCUGUGUGAGUGCCACGAGUGGGUGUGCGAGACCUACGACGGGAGCACCUGUGCAGGCCAUGGUAAGUGUAACUGUGGCAAGUGCAAAUGUGACCAGGGAUGGUAUGGGGACGCUUGCCAGUACCCAACUAAUUGUGACCUGACAAAGAAGAAAAGUAAUCAAAUGUGCAAGAAUUCACAAGACGUCAUCUGCUCUAAUGCAGGUACAUGUCACUGUGGCAGGUGUAAGUGUGAUAAUUCAGAUGGAAGUGGACUUGUAUAUGGCAAAUUUUGCGAGUGUGAUGAUAGAGAAUGCAUAGACGAUGAAACAGAAGAAAUAUGUGGAGGCCAUGGGAAGUGUUACUGUGGAAACUGCUACUGCAAGCCUGGUUGGCAUGGAGAUAAAUGUGAAUUCCAGUGCGAUAUCACCCCCUGGGAAAGCAAGCGAAGAUGCACAUCUCCAGAUGGCAAAAUCUGCAGUAACAGAGGGACUUGUGUGUGUGGUGAAUGUUCCUGCCACGAUGUUGAUCCAACUGGGGACUGGGGAGAUAUUCAUGGGGACACCUGUGAGUGUGACGAAAGGGACUGUAGAGCUGCCUAUGACCGAUAUUCUGAUGACUUCUGUUCAGGUCACGGGCAGUGUAAUUGCGGAAGAUGUGACUGCAAAGCAGGCUGGCAUGGGAAGAAGUGUGAGCACCCACAGUCCUGCAUGCUGUCAGCUGAGGAGAGCAUCAGGAGGUGCCAGGGAAGCUCUGAUCUGCCUUGCUCUGGGAGGGGUAAAUGUGAAUGUGGCCAAUGCACCUGCUACCCUCCGGGAGAUCAUCGUGUGUAUGGCAAGACUUGUGAGUGUGAUGAUCGCCGCUGUGAAGACCUAGAUGGUGUGGUCUGCGGAGGCCACGGCACAUGUUCCUGUGGUCGCUGCGUUUGUGAGAGAGGAUGGUUUGGGAAGCUCUGCCAACAUCCGAGGAAGUGUAACAUGACGGAAGAACAAAGCAAGAAUCUGUGUGAAUCAGCAGAUGGCAUAUUGUGCUCGGGGAAGGGUUCUUGUCAUUGUGGAAAGUGCAUUUGUUCCACUGAAGAAUGGUAUAUUUCUGGGGAAUUCUGUGACUGUGAUGACAGAGACUGCGACAAACAUGAUGGUCUCAUUUGUACAGGGAAUGGAAUAUGUAGCUGUGGAAACUGUGAAUGCUGGGAUGGAUGGAAUGGAAAUGCAUGUGAAAUCUGGCUUGGCUCAGAAUAUCCUUAACAAUUACAUGAGAGAGGAUACCUUUCUGGAAACCUGGGUUCAUGCAAAGAAUCAAGAAGAGAAAUAUUGUGAUAAAAUGGCACCAAUCUCAGAAGCUCACAAAAGGACCAAAAAAAAAUCUAGAGAUGGCUUACAUAGAAAUUACGAAUAUUCACUCAGUGAUAGGAACAAAAUGUUUAUUUUCUUAAUGGUGAAACUUUGCUUUGUAUGAAAUUCACAUUGAAUUAUGAAAAUGUACAAUAAUUGGGACUUCCCUUAUAUAUUUACAGGUAAAUCUACUUAUACACAUUAGUUUAGGCAACCUUUAGUUAUUUAGAGCUAAAAAAAAACACUUUUUUUUCUAAAGGUGAGUUAUUUUGUAAAAUCCUAUAAUAAUGUAGCAAAAUCAUUUCGAUAUUAUUUUAAGAUGAAAAUUUUUACUUGGAAAUUUUAUUUUAAUGAUGUAAGUAUUCUAGAGUCAUGGCUUGAACUUUAUAAGUCAAAUUACCAAAAAUAAGGAAAAUAUGCAUCCACUGAGUUACUUAAAAAUUUAACAUUGAAAAUUAUUUUAAGAGAACAUUUAACUGAUGCUGAUUUUUAUAGUACUAAUAAUGUCCUCAUAAUGUAAUAUAUUUAUAAAAUUGUUAUCUCUAUCCUGAGAUUAAGGAGUGCAACCAUGUUGUAGUUCUAUUAUUGAGUAUGUAAAUUGAUAUAUCUCUUUUGUAAAAUGAGGGAAAUAUUAGUAGUCAAUAAAUAUUGUAGGUUAUAUUCUUUCCUCUUCACUACCUAAACAUUUUAAGCUGCAAACAACCUAUUAUUACGGUUCUGUAGCAAUUUGGAUGACAUAUUUGCUGAUGCGCAGACAUUGGAAUUCAUAACAUUAUCUAGCCAUCCUAAUACAAUUACCUUUGGAUUCUCCUGUCACAGGGCUUAUCCUCCUGUGAAGGACCAGAAAGUUAAAAUUUACAGACCACAUACAUCCCUGUCUCAUUAUCUUCUUUCUUUGUUUCUGUUUACUACUUUAAAGCUGUAAAAAAAAUAAUUCCUUCUGAGUUCCCAGGCCAUACAAAAACAGAUUAAGGGUGGAUUUGGCUGGCAGCUGAACAGUACUUUGUCAGCCUCACCUCCACUGGAAGUGCCCUUGAUUCUCUAUGGCUCAUCACAAAACCUCAGGUGAGUCUUAUUUUCUUUAUAACCCUCUGUUAUUAUCCUUUUUAUUAAGAACAAUAACUACAACAAAAGUGCUGCUCUUUUUCAUAGUCUUAUGUAAGAACAGUGUCAAAAAUGUUCUCCGCAUUUGUUUUCUCAGAAAAAGAAUUUAGAUAUUGGAGAAAUUAUACCAUGAAGUUCAAAAUGUUGGACAAAGAUGAAAAUAUGGUCAGUUCUGUUCCAGUGUUCAUUUAGUUAGAAACCAUAGAACUGGAAAUGUAUUAUAAUAUAAGUUACAUGACACCUAAACUCUAAGGAAUGCUUUUUCUUUGAGAACAGAAAUAUUUUAUUUUUACUUAUUUCUGUGUGUGUGUGUGUGUGUGUGUGUGGUUUUGAUGCCGGCAAUGCAAACACCAAUAUAUCUAUUAAGAAGUAAUUGAAUUUAGAUUGGAAAAAAUAAUUACAUGUAAAGACAUAAACAUUUUCCUUCUUAAAUAUAAUUUUGUACUUUUCCAACUCUAUGAUAGAAACUCCCUCUAAAAAGCAAGCAGGGCAGGAACAAACUUCUAACAGGUGGGAGGAAACAAGCAAAUCUGAUUGGCUCGUUCUGGUUUGAGGAAGCUGCAGUGGGAUUAAUGUCAAUUGGAAGGGAUGCAACAAGUUUACAGAAGGUAUUGGCACUAACCCUGCUUGUUUGGCAAAUCACCACUGAGAAAUUCCACCCUGGGACUUUUCCAUAAAAAAGUCAACUAAAGUGCAAAGACAUAAGAGGAGAGACAUUAUCCUUUCUGGGCUCCUUGAGUUUAUCUGGAUUCCAUUAGCGCUUUGGAAGGAAUGUCCUCCACCACCUCAAAUGCAAAUAUAAUCUCUGCCAGUAGACAUUGGAAUUAGACUUAGUGAAAAUCAAGAAAACAACAAAACUGAAAUAUAACUGAUCCUUAGUUUGCAGACUUAACUAUCAACACUUUGAAACCCUACUCAAUAUUCAAGAGUCAAGAGUUUCACAUUGUAGGCUAAGAAACCUAAGCUAUGACUUAUAUUUCACUCAAAGUAACACAAUGCACAUCCUGGAUUUUGACAUGCCUGCAGUUUGGAAAAUAACUGAGGAUUUAGCCCAAUAGCUUUCUCUUGAUACAGUCUUGUUCUGAAUUAAGAGUGAAAAUAAUUUUCAAUUACUUUCAUCUUCUUUCUAAAGUAGAUGUUAGUCAAUGUGGUCUCUUCUUGAAUAUGUAUCGAACAUUGAUUAUCUCUAAUAUUAGGGAGAUAAUUUUAAAUGAAGUGAUAGAUGUCUAACUUAAAAAAAUAAGAAGUUUUUGGUUUUUAAAGAGAACCAUAUCUGAUACUGUUUAUCCUGAUAAAAAUGACUAUUUUAGUGCUUAAAGCAUUAACUAAGCAAGUGGCCACGUAUGAUAAAGAACCUCUGCUUGCUGCCUAAGAGGCAAACUAUUAGAAGAACUGCAGCUGGAGCCCUUUGGCCCCAUCGUGGAUCUCUUUAAGUCACCCCUACCCAAAACCAUUCAGGACAAGCCAACAUUUAGAGCAAGAAUCUCCGAGUUCUUCAGGAUUUGUGAUGAAACAAUGCUCAGUUCCAUUUUGCUCCUUACAUAGGUUGGAGAACUUGCAUGUCUUCUCUAAUUUUUCCAAGUCAAGUGGUAGCAAAAUGUUUUAAAAAGCAACCUUAUUAGAAAACAAAAAUGUUUCACUUGAAAUAUCAAAACAGCAUUUCUGAGCAUUGUUGAGGGAUUGGCAAAGCAAUCUGCUACUCUAACAAAUCAGUAGAAGUAACCCUCCCACACCAGAUAUGCAUGCAGCAGGAAUGGAGUAUUCUAGAGACUUGAUACAAUGGACAUAUGCACAUGGAGGUACAAAACACACGGUCUGUAAAUACAAAUGAAUUCCAUCCGAUUUACUGUACGGAACAUCAGUCGUGACAGAUUGCACUCACUUAAUAACAGCAAACUUAAUUUUUGAGGGAAAAAAGUGGUGAAGUCUUAUCCCAAACAAAUAGCAAGAGAGAGGUAUCAUCAAAGAGCUAAAAUUUUCUUUGGCAUGGUAAAGGGGAAAAUUGAGUUUACCAACUUAUUUACAUGACAUUUCUAUAUAUUGGUGGGUGAUGCAAUGCCAUUUUGUUACAUAACGUUGUUUGAUGUUGUUUAAUAUGCCUUCAUAUAGUUUAUUCAAUAUGUUGUAUUUGUGAAUACAACAAAUGAUAUUAAACACAGAAACUGUACAAGGCAAACAAACUCUUUGUAUGCAAUUUAGCAAUACAUACCAACAGUUCUAGAUACACAGGUACCUACUACAUGCAGUUCAUCAGUGCUGCCCUCGUCCCAUGCAACAGGUGAGACCAGACACAAAGUAAAUGACCUAAAUUACAAAUAACAAAGACCCCUCUGCAAUAUGCCUAAACAUAUAUUAGAAGAAAGUAUUUGACAUCCUUCAUAGGGAUAAAUGCCCUUAUAGACACCCGUAUAUAAAACACAACAGAGGUACACGUUUACAUAAAUCUCAGUCAUUUACAAAAAUAAAUCUUGUCUUAAUUUAAAACAAUAAACAGACUUGCAGGGGAAAAAGAAACCAGUAAGUAGGGCUGAUUAUCAAUAACAACAAAUACAGGGGGUUGUUUGCUGUGUGAGUGUGUGUGUGUGUGUGUGAGAGAGAGAGAGAGAUACUGUAAGUAGUGUCUAUUAAGCCCAUUUGACUGAAUUACAAGUUAAAAAGUACUCAUAGUUUGCCAGAUAUUAUGGGGUAUAUGUUUUCUGAAAAUAAUUGGUUAAUACAAUUUAUCUAUUUUAACUGAUCCCCUUAAAAACAAUAACCUUCAAAAUGACAUAACACCAAAUCAGAAAUGACCAAAGGAAUCAUCUUUUUCACAUUUGUAAUUUAGCAUCAUUGACAAUAAAUCUACUCAAACGUUCUGCUAACUUUUUAUUUAUUCAAGUAGAAUCCAAUAUGAAAAUGAAAUAAGCAUAAACAGUUAAAUUUAUACUAAACCUUUAAUCAGCUAAGCAGGCCAGAAUUUUUUAAUGCUGGGCAAGGGCUGUCAUGAAGAUUUAUGAACGCAGUGACAAAAUAAUUUUCCAAUAAAUACAGUGCAGAUGGGGAAAAUGACAACUGGGUCAUCCUCCCACAGAGAAAGAAUCACAAGAGGCCAGUACAUUGAUCCCACAUAUAAUUUUCAAUAAAUGAGGUUCAGUUUGGUCUCAAUGAACUCUUCUGAGAAGAAAACAUUGAAUUUUAUUAGGUGUACACAGAGUUAACAAAUAUAUUCCCAAACAAUUUAGUAUGAAGCAUUUUGAAACCCUUUAGAUCCAAUAUUGAACAUUUUGCAUGGAAUCUUCACUGUGUAGUCAACUGUUCCUGGCCUUUCUUGGUAGUAGUCUUCCCUAAGCUCAGAGUUCAAACAGUAUUAAAUUAAAAAGGAAAUUAAGAAUGCAAAGUAAAUAAAAAGGUAAUAAACAGAAUGGACCAAAAUCCUAAUGGAUGAAUAUGUUGGUUUGCCUUUAUUUUCAUCUAGGAUAAUUCAACAGACAGACUGUAUUCUGAGAUCAUGGCAAGGCACCUCUAACCCAGGCACAGGGCAGCAUGGGCCCCAAAUGCUGAGUUAGAGGCAUGUACUGGUGAAAUACACAGUACCGGACUCAGCAUGCUGAGCUAAAAAAAAUAUUUUUUCCUAAUAUGUCCAGUUUAAAAACUUGUCAUUAAACACCAAAAAUAUUAAAGUCUAAUUUAUAACUAACGUUUGCAUUGCUGCUGCAGGAAAGAACACAACAACAGCCGUCUUGCCCAUGCUCUGCUGAGUAUGAGGGGAACGCAGCCAGAAACGGGGAUGGCGUUAAGUUUGGUUCAUUAAAAACAGGACGGAGUAUAUCUGAAAUGGAUUUAGGUAGCGCAAUUCUCGUAGGUUGUAAUUAUUGAUUUUCUUUUUUUAAUUUUCCAAAUAAUGAGAAUUAAUAGAUGAAAAAUGAACCUUAAUCAGGCCUACAAGGCCUACAAAAAUCUUUGGACCCACUUUCUCAAAAACCAGUGGGUCUUGCUCGCUGGGCAAGGCAAAUGUUACCAUUACCAGUAAGCUUGUGAUAUGUAUAAAACACACACACACAAAGAAACUAGAGGGGGAUGUCAAACACACAUCAUAGAGAGCUUCCCUGGAUUGUGUUUGAGCCAUUUCCCACCCAGGCAACGCCGACCUUGGGAGCACAGUAUCUGCUACUGGACAGAGUGUAUAUGUGUGUUUAAUCGAUAGUGUGAGCCAGAGACAACAAUCUUAAUCUUGAUAGAUGCAAUUUGUAAUAAUAGGUUUAGAAGGCUUCCUGAUUCCCUGAUUGCUCUCUGAACUAAGCCAACUGCAACAUUUAAGAUUUAGAGGAACAAAAUCCCUGCAAAAAGGUCACAGACAGUGGAGCGAGCAGCCCUGUAGAAAUGGGAAGAAGAGAAAUCCAUAAUAGCACAGGUUUACAGCGUCUAACUAGAAAUUACUCAAUAUUAUUUGUGUGCUACAAAAUUGAACUUAAACACAUAGAUUUCGCUGAAACAGGACUCAAAAAGGAUUAUGGGUAGCUGUCAGCAGGCAAGGUAUCGAGUGUACUUGUGAAGUAUGUCAUUCACAUGAAGUGUCACAGUCACAGAAAAGAUAUUAAAAAGGCAUUCCAUAUCUGGUAGGGCAUUCCAUGGUCUGAGUUUAGCUGGUUAUCCAGGUGUCUUCUUGUUGUGGGGGGUGCAACAGGUUGAGAUUUAUCCACUUGCAACAGAGAAGUUCAGAGACAGCAAAGAGCAAGCGUUAGCUUACUUCCAGCUGCUCUUCAGCCACAGAGCAGGAAUGUCUGGUGAGGAUAAAUCACUCAACUGUGCUCAGGACAAAUAAGUCACAACACCUGUGAGGAUCUGGCUAUGUUGUCUUACUCUUGUUCACUGGUUUGCCUCCAUUCAUUAUUGCAGACGCACUUGUGCUUUUACUUGGCGUCACCCCAGGCUUCGGGACCGUUUCCCCAACAUCAUGCAGAGAUGGUUCUCGGUACAUGGCAACUAGUGAUGGGAAGAAAGGAGGAGGAAAAGGAAACAGUGCUUGGUUAGGUGCGAGAAUGGUCCAUCUGUACAUGCACAGACCACUGCAGUUUGCCCACUUCUGUUUUCCCUGAGAAUCAUCACCAUCACAACAACAAAAUCAACAACAGAUGAGUUCCAGCAGAAGCUUGAAUAUUAAUUUGCACUACUGCCGAACUAAAUCAUCAAGUCAUAGGAGAGGAAAAUGCAAUAAUUAAACAGAAAUGUUAUAUCUUU